AAGACCUGACGUGGGGAAAAGUUGGGCAAUCAAGAGAUUGGGCAGUUGUUUCAGUAUAAAGUCCUGAGCAUCAGGCAGAAAUUUGAAGUUCAGUGGAGGAGGCUGAAGCUCCUCAAAGAAGGUUCUUUUUGAAAUUACCGAUCAGUAAAGGCACCUUUGAGACUUUUUACUGUUGAGACCUGUAAAAUGGGAGGGUGUAAUAGUAAAAAGACCGGCAAGAGACUGAGGGAUAUACCUCCCAAUAGUCCCUUAGGAGAACUGUUAGUAAAAUGGGAUUCUAUAGAGGCCACGGAGGGAUUAAAUAAAGUGAAAAUGAUCCAUUAUUGUAUGGAAGUGUGGCCAGAAUUAGAGUUGCAAAGAGGAUAGCCUUGGUGUGAGACAAAAGAUAAGUGGAUGUGCCAACUAUUAAAUAAUUAUCUGACAGCUCGAGGGGAUACUGAUCCUGAGCAAUUAUUGUAUGUAGCUUGCUGGUUAAAGAGCGCUGUUGGGGAUGAAGGGGUGCGAAUUUGUAAGGUACAGAAGAAGAAAGAGGAGAAUGAAGGAGGAGAUGAUAGGACUAGUAAAAGAUGGGAUCCCCUGGAUUAUUUGCCUCCUUCUGCCCCUCCACCUUAUAAUCCUCUUCUUCAAGCACCUCAAAUGGCAGGUCCGGUUCUUCUCCCGGCUGCCAUCUCAUUACCACCUGCUCAAACUCCUCCUUCUACCUCUUCAGCUUCUGCUAUGAUAAACCCAGUAUCUCCUCCAGUAACCACUCCCUCACAACCCCCUUCAGCCCCUCCAGUUCCUUCUGCACUGCCACAAGUGCCUACUCCACCUGCUGCAUUCUCCACCCCUUCUCCAGCUGCACUUAAUAUUCAUUCAGGCUCUUCUCCCCCUCCUAUUGCUGUCCCUUUACCUCCUCCUAGUUGGGGCACAAAUGCCUCCUCGCCCAGUAAACAGCUAUCAGCAAAUACACCUGCUGAUGGGCAGAGCGUUCAGGGUAACCCAGAUAUCCCUCAAAGUAGCUUGGCAUCUGAAGAUGGGCCGUACUGUAGCACCAGAUCCAAGACCUCCAAGGCAGAGAGACUCUUUCCCCUCAGAGAGGUUCCUAUGGGAGGACUAGCAGGAGGUGUUGGCUUUGUGAAUGCUCCUCUAACUGCUUCUGACGUGAGAGGAUUCAAAAAAGAGUUGGGGUAUUUAGUUGAGGACCCAGUGAGCAUAGCCAACCAAGUGGAUCAAUUUCUAGGUCAAAAUAUCUACACUUGGGGGGAGAUGAAUUCCAUCCGGAGUAUAUUAUUUUCCCCAGAAGAGGUCCAGAUGAUUAAAGUGGCUGGCAUAAGAAUUUCAGAGAAAGAUAACAGUCCAGGACCCCAGGUGCCAUCAGGUGAACAGAAAUUGCCACUAACGGAUCCCAGCUGGAACCCUAACCAGGAGGAGGGGAGGAAGGCCAUGANNNNNNNNNNNNNNNNNNNNNNNNNNNNNNNNNNNNN
rnacentral:lncRNA from 1 species